rnacentral:lncRNA from 1 species
AGGGCAGCGGGCCCAGUGGGGCCCUUCACGCAGCUGGAGGGAGGAGUACAUGAUGUCUGAGCUGAAUCAUCAAAGAUGAGUCAAGGUUUCAAGGGGAGACAAGUUCCAGGUGAUGCCAAUGCUGCUGGUCUGGGACCACCCUCUGAGCAUGACCCGCCAGGAAGAACAAAGAGGACUCAGAGCUGGGGAGGUUAAGAGGAGACCUCACACUGAGCAAGGCCCUGAAGACCUGUGUCACUAAGUAAGGAAGCCUGGACCAGCCUGCUGGAACAUGAGAUCGUGUAGAACACACAAGAGCUCUCCACUGAGGGUCCCUACACCAACCAGCUCCCAGUGGAGCUACCAGAUGACUGCAACAACAGAGUGACCCCAGGUGAGGAAGAGCACCACCUCCACACACCUUCACUCCCAUAUGCCUGCCCUAAGAA